AUUGAACGCUGGCGGCAUGCCUAACACAUGCAAGUCGAACGGCAGCACGGCAGUAGCAAUACUGUGGGUGGCGAGUGGCGGACGGGUGAGGAAUACGUCGGAAUCUGCCCAGUCGUGGGGGAUAACUAGCCGAAAGGUUAGCUAAUACCGCAUACGACCGAGAGGUGAAAGCGGGGGACCGCAAGGCCUCGCGCGAUUGGAUGAGCCGACGUCGGAUUAGCUAGUUGGUGGGGUAAAGGCCCACCAAGGCGACGAUCCGUAGCUGGUCUGAGAGGAUGAUCAGCCACACUGGAACUGAGACACGGUCCAGACUCCUACGGGAGGCAGCAGUGGGGAAUAUUGGACAAUGGGCGCAAGCCUGAUCCAGCAAUGCCGCGUGUGUGAAGAAGGCCUCGGUUGGUAAGUACGACUUUA
rnacentral:rRNA from 1 species